rnacentral:lncRNA from 1 species
GUAAUCCCUAUCAAAAUUGCAACAGCCAUUACUGCAGAAGUAGAAAAGUCAAUUCAAAAAUUCAUAGGGAAAUGCAAGGGAUCCCAAACAGCCAAACCAAUCCUGAAAAAGAACGACAGAGUUGGAACACUCUCACUUCCCAAUUUCAAAACCUGCUACAAAACUAAAGUAAUUAAAACAGUGUGGUACUAGCAUAAGGAUAGACAUAGAGACUAAUGGAACAAAACAGAACAGCCCAGAAAUAAACCCAUACAUCUAGGGUCAACUGAUAUUGGACAAGGAUGCCAAGACCACUGAAUGGAGAAAGAAGAGUCUCGUCAACAAAGGUGCUAGGCGAAUUGUAUAUCCACGUGCAGAAGACUGAAGUUGGAUUCCUAUCUCACAUCACGUAAAAAAACUAACUGAAAAUGUGUGAUUAAGACCUAAAUAUAAGAGAGCUAAAAUUAUAAAAUCCUUAGAAGAAAAUAGAGAUGAAUCUUCAGAACUUUGGAUUUGGCAAAGAUUUCUUGGAUGGCAUCAAAUACAGAUACAACGAAAGAAAAAAUAGAUAACUUGGACUUCAUCAAAACUGAAGACUUCUGUGCAUCAAAGAACACAACCGAGAGAGUGAAAAGACAACCCACAGAAAGGGAAAAAAUACUCACAAAUCAUCUAUCUAAUAAGGGAUUAAUAUCCAGAACUUAUAAAUGACUCCUACAAAUAAACAAAAAAACCCAAACACCCUAAUUUAAAAUUGGGCAAAAGACUUCAACAGACAGUUCUUUAAAGAAGAUACAUAAACAGCCAAUAAGCACGUGAAAAGAUGCUAUACAUCAGUAAUCAUCAGUGAAAUACAAAUCAAAACCACAAUGAGAUAACACUUUACAUCCAUUAGGUUGGCUAUUAUCAGAAAAAUAAAAUAAAAAGCAUUGUUGGCAAGAAUGUGAAGAAACUGGAAUGCUUAUACAUUGCAGGGAAUGUAAAAUAGUACAGCUGCUGUAAAAAACGGUUUGUUGGUUCCUCAAGACAUUAAAGAUAGAAUUCCACUUCUAGGUGUACACCCAAAAGAACUGAAAGCAGGGACUCGAACAGACAUCUGUACACCACUGUUUACAACAGCACUACACACUAUACUCAAAAGAUAGAAACGAACCAAAUGUCCAUCAACAGAUGGAUGGAUAAACAUGGUAUAUACAUACAAUUAAUGGAAUAUUAUUCAGCCUUACAGAGGAAUUAAGUUCUGAUACAUGCUACAAAAUGGAUGAACUUUGAGGACAUUAUGCUAAGUUAAAUAAGCCAAACACAAAAGGACAAAUAUUGCACGAUUCCACUUAUAUAGAGGUAUCUAGAAAAGUCAAAUUCUCAGAGACAGAAAAUAGAGGGGUAGUUACCAGAGGUUUGG